AGAGUGAACCUGAGCAGUCACUAUCAAUUGUCUGGUUUGGCUUUGCUUUCUAAAUAUUGACACUUCCCCUCUUAUAUCUCCAUUUUCCUUCCAUGUCUUUCUUUCAAUUUUUUCAAAAUCUUCUUGAAGGUUCUCUAUUCAUUUUACUUACUCCAUAUUGGGUGUAACGCAUCCCGUUGAUGACAAUCGGUGGCUGCUGGAAAAGGAUGAAGAAGAAACAGUCAUCCAGAAGCCUCUUCCUUCUCUACUGCAACUUCGGGACAGCCCACUAUUUCGAAUUUCAUCCCUAAAAGAACUAAGUUUUAUGGGUGCAUUUUUUUUUCUUGUGGUGUAAUUUUUUACGAAUUUGUAUUAAGGAUUUUGAUUCUAACCUAGAAUUUGAAAUUUGGGGCUUUAUAAUUCAAGUAGAGUUUUGCUUUAUUGAUUUGCAAUGAACUCUUUGCCUUUGAUUUU